GCUUACGGCCAUACCACCCUGAGCACGCCCGAUCUCGUCCGAUCUCGGAAGCUAAGCAGGGUCGGGCCUGGUUAGUACUUGGAUGGGAGACCGCCUGGGAAUACCAGGUCCUGUAAGCU
rnacentral:rRNA from 1 species